rnacentral:rRNA from 1 species
AAAUUGAAGAGUUUGAUCAUGGCUCAGAUUGAACGCUGGCGGCAGGCCUAACACAUGCAAGUCGAACGGUAACAGGAAGCAGCUUGCUGUUUCGCUGACGAGUGGCGGACGGGUGAGUAAUGUCUGGGAAACUGCCUGAUGGAGGGGGAUAACUACUGGAAACGGUAGCUAAUACCGCAUAACGUCGCAAGACCAAAGAGGGGGGACCUUCGGGCCUCUUGCCAUCGGAUGUGCCCAGAUGGGAUUAGCUUGUUGGUGGGGUAACGGCUCACCAAGGCGACGAUCCCUAGCUGGUCUGAGAGGAUGACCAGCCACACUGGAACUGAGACACGGUCCAGACUCCUACGGGAGGCAGCAGUGGGGAAUAUUGCACAAUGGGCGCAAGCCUGAUGCAGCCAUGCCGCGUGUAUGAAGAAGGCCUUCGGGUUGUAAAGUACUUUCAGCGGGGAGGAAGGGAGUAAAGUUAAUACCUUU